GUGGGCGAGGGGGGAGAGCCACACACCUCUGACCCAGCAGUGCUUGUGCCAGGGAAGAGGGCAUGGGACAUAUUCCCUUGAGGGUGGGCAGGGGGAGGGGCUGUUGCAGGUAGCUAUUGGAAACCCUCCUGGGAGGAGGAUGGGAGCAUCACCUCUGCCUGGCCUCAGAUAACAGGCCCUUAUCUGCGCAGAACUGCAGCUCUCAGCUUGUGUUCAAGGGGGGCGUCCCUGUGGCUGGUUCGGGGACAGAAGGGAAACAGCCCCUGUUGGACAGGCCGGGAAGCUGCCCCAUCUCUCCUGGACAAGCAGCUCCCAGCUGCCCCUUCCAAGGUAUAAGACUCCCCAUCUGACUCCAGCCCCCCGCUGCCCAGGACAGGACUUCCAGAUUAGCCGCCUGUUGGGGGCCUUCAGGGCGUGCGUGAACCAAAAUGGGGAAAUCCUCCUGCAAGAGUAUCUGGCUGGCUGGAAAGAACUGAUCAAGUUGAUUGACGCUCUGGGAUCCGCAUUUGGCCUUCUUACACGGGAGACGCAGACGAAGGUGAUGAUCAUGCAGGGGCACUGCUUGGGGCCACAUGCCCCACACUACCGCACCCUCCAAGGCAUGGUGGCCUUUGAGCUGCAGCACAGGUUGGUGGGGCUCCAAGUGCUGCCCCCGCAGCAGCCCCACUGCUGCGCCUCCAUCGUGCCCUCAAAUGGCUGCAGCUCUUCCUGGACAAGCUAGGCCACAGCAGGAAGGGGACUGACCCCUCCGAGCUGUGUGCCGAAGCCUACCAGGUAGCCCUGGCUCGGUACCACAGCUGGUGGGUGCGUCAGGCGGCUGGGUUGGCAUUCUUGGCUUUGCCUUCACUCCCAGAGCUGCUCAAACUCGUCUGUGCACAGGGGGAGUGGGAAGCCCGGGCCAUGCUCCUGACGACUGCCAGCACCCUCAGCAGGGUCUAUAACCUCACCCAGCAGGUCUAUGCCUCCCGUGGCCUCUUGGAGCUGCCAUGAGCUGCCACUGGGGGAGCCAGAGAGAACCGUUGUAACAUUUAAUUGAAGUAUGACUACAGAAAUCAU